rnacentral:rRNA from 1 species
ACGGAAGGCAGCAGUGGGGAAUAUUGGGCAAUGGGGGAAACCCUGACCCAUCAACGCCGCGUGAAGGAAGAAGGCUUUCGGGUUGUAAACUUCUUUUACCAGGGACGAAGGACGUGACGGUACCUGGAGAAAAAGCCACGGCUAACUACGUGCCAGCAGCCGCGGUAAUACGCAGGUGGCAAGCGUUGUCCGGAUUUACUGGGUGUAAAGGGCGUGUAGGCGGAGAUGCAAGUCAGAAGUGAAAUCUAGGGGCUUACCCCCUAAACUGCUUUUGCAACUGUAUCCCUUGAGUAUCGGAGAGGCAGGCGGAAUUCCUAGUGUAGCGGUGAAAUGCGUAGAUAUUAGGAGGAACACCAGUGGCGACGGCGGCCUGCUGGACGACAACUGACGCUGAGGCGCGACCGCGUGGGGAGCAAACCGGAUUAGAUACCCUGGUA